ACGCCAAGUGGUAAAGAUAAAGUAAUUUCACCAUAAUAACAUUAAUCUUAGCAAUAAAAAAGAAAUUAUGGUAUAAU
rnacentral:sRNA from 1 species